AACGAACGCUGGCGGCAUGCCUAACACAUGCAAGUCGAACGAGACCUUCGGGUCUAGUGGCGCACGGGUGCGUAACGCGUGGGAACCUGCCCUUAGGUUCGGAAUAACUCCCCGAAAGGGGUGCUAAUACCGGAUAAUGUCUUCGGACCAAAGAUUUAUCGCCUUUGGAUGGGCCCGCGUUGGAUCAGCUAGUUGGUAGGGUAAAAGCCUACCAAGGCGACGAUCCAUAGCUGGUCUGAGAGGAUGAUCAGCCACACUGGGACUGAGACACGGCCCAGACUCCUACGGGAGGCAGCAGUGGGGAAUAUUGGACAAUGGGCGAAAGCCUGAUCCAGCAAUGCCGCGUGAGUGAUGAAGGCCUUAGGGUUGUAAAGCUCUUUUACCCGGGAUGAUAAUGACAGUACCGGAAGAAUAAGCUCCGGCUAACUCCGUG
rnacentral:rRNA from 1 species